rnacentral:rRNA from 1 species
CCUACGGGUGGCAGCAGUGGGGAAUAUUGCACAAUGGGGGAAACCCUGAUGCAGCGACGCCGCGUGAGUGAAGAAGUAUCUCGGUAUGUAAAGUCCUUUCAGCAGGAAAGAAAAUGACGGUAUCUGACUAAUAAGCACCGGCUAACUACGUGCCAGCAGCCGCGGUAAUACGGAGGGGGCAAGCGUUAUUCGGACUUACUGGGUGUAAAGGGAGCGUAGGCGGCAGUGCAAGUCAGGAGUGAAAGCCCAUGGCUUAACCAUGGAACUGCUCUGGAAACUGUAGAGCUUGAGUGCGGGAGGGGCAGGCGGAAUUCCUGGUGUAGCGGUGAAAUGCGUAGAUAUUAGGAGGAACACCGGCGGCGAAGGCGGCCUGCUGGACCAUAACUGACGUUGAGGCGCGAAAGCGUGGGGAGCAAACAGGAUUAGAUACCCGAGUAGUC